AUCGCUUCUCGGCCUUUUGGCUAAGAUCAAGUGUAGGAUAUUUCUACCUUAACUUGGGAUGUGGGAAAGCAUCCUAAGAUCAGAACAGUGAGGGUUUUUUAAUACUGUUUUUAAAAUUGUAGUAAAAUCUAUGUAAUGUGGAAUUGAUCAUUUCAAGCAUUUUUAAGUGUGUGAUUCAGUGGCAUGAAGUACAUUCACUUCCUUGUGCGCCCAUC
ensembl:snRNA U2 U2 spliceosomal RNA